CAACCUCAACUCAUAUGGGACUACCCCUGAAUUUAAGCAUAUUAAUUAGGGGAGAGAAAAAGAAACUAACAAGGAUUUUCUUAGUAGCGGCGAGCGAAAAGAAAAUAGUUCAGCACUAAGUCACUUUGUCUCAAUUUGUCUUAGAAAAUGGAGACGGUGUGUGGACCCACAUUUUUUGUUGGAAAAAUUAAUGAUUUAAGUCCUUCUUAAAUGAGGCCAUUUACCCAUAGAGGGUGCCAGGCCCGUAUAACGUUAAUGAUUACUAUUAGAUGUGUCUCCAAAGAGUCGUGUUGCUUGAUAGUGCAGCACUAAGUGGGUGGUAAACUCCAUCUAAAACUAAAUAUAACCAUGAGACCGAUAGUAAACAAGUACCGUGAGGGAAAGUUGAAAAGAACUCUGAAUAGAGAGUUAAAUAGUACGUGAAACUGCUUAGAGGUUAAGCCCGAUGAACCUGAAUAUCCAUUAUGGAAAAUUCAUCAUUAGAGUUUUAAUAUUUUAAUAAUAUUAUAAUAAUAGUGUGCAUUUUUUCCAUAUAAGGACAUUGUAAUCUAUUAACAUAAACCAAAUUUAUCAUAAAAUAUGACUUAUAGUUUAUUUAAAUUAUUUUGCUUGCAUUUUAACAUAGAAUAAAUGUCAUUAAUUUGAUAAAGUGUUGAUAGAUUUAUAUGAAUACAGUGCGUUAAUUUUUCGGAAUUAUAUAAUAGCAUGAUUAUCAUUGAUUUUCUGUGUUUAUUAUAUGCACUUGUAUGAUUAACAAUGCGAAAGA
rnacentral:ncRNA from 1 species